UCACUCUCAUCAAUUUUUCAUAACGCGCCUAAAGAAGUAAAACUUCAAAAAUAUCUAAAACAUAAUAAUAAAACCUUCCACUCUUGUGAACUCAGCUACGUUACAACCCAAUUAUAGCUUAUUUUAAUUACAUGUAUAUAUUAUUUUUAUUAAUAUUUAAACCAAGGAGGCGAGGCUAGUGUAUAUUAUAUAUUUAAGUACGAGUAACGACUUUAAGAUAUAAAAUAGUUAGAGCUCGUAUCUCGAUUGAAGUGGAGUUGUGCGUGAUUUAAUUAAAAAUGAAAUUUCUACUACUCUGCCUGUUAGCCGCGUAUUGCUACGCCGAUGACUCUAGUGGAGCAUUACUAUCAAAAAUUGAAGAACAUCAAAUGAAACUUCGCGUUUGGGAAGAAGAUAACUCCCAGUUAUUGUCUACUCUCAUCGAAGAACAAAAGAAAUACGACAAUGCCAA